AGUGAACGCUGGCGGUAGGCCUAACACAUGCAAGUCGAACGGCAGCACAGUAAGAGCUUGCUCUUACGGGUGGCGAGUGGCGGACGGGUGAGGAAUACAUCGGAAUCUACUUUUUCGUGGGGGAUAACGUAGGGAAACUUACGCUAAUACCGCAUACGACCUACGGGUGAAAGCAGGGGAUCUUCGGACCUUGCGCGAUUGAAUGAGCCGAUGUCGGAUUAGCUAGUUGGCGGGGUAAAGGCCCACCAAGGCGACGAUCCGUAGCUGGUCUGAAAGGCUGAUCGGCCACACUGGAACUGAACCACGGUCCAGACUCCUACGGGAGGCACCAGUGGGGAAUAUUGGACAAUGGGCGCAAGCCUGAUCCAGCCAUACCGCGUGGGUGAAGAAGGCCUUCGGGUUGUAAAGCCCUUUUGUUGGGAAAGAAAAGCAGCAGGUUAAUACCCCGCUGUUCUGACGGUACCCAAAGAAUAAGCACCGGCUAACUUCGUG
rnacentral:rRNA from 1 species